UGGGGAAUAUUGGACAAUGGGCGCAAGCCUGAUCCAGCCAUGCCGCGUGAGUGAUGAAGGCCCUAGGGUUGUAAAGCUCUUUCACCGGUGAAGAUAAUGACGGUAACCGGAGAAGAAGCCCCGGCUAACUUCGUGCCAGCAGCCGCGGUAAUACGAAGGGGGCUAGCGUUGUUCGGAUUUACUGGGCGUAAAGCGCACGUAGGCGGACUAUUAAGUCAGGGGUGAAAUCCCGGGGCUCAACCCCGGAACUGCCUUUGAUACUGGUAGUCUUGAGUUCGAGAGAGGUGCGUGGAAUUCCGAGUGUAGAGGUGAAAUUCGUAGAUAUUCGGAGGAACACCAGUGGCGAAGGCGGCACACUGGCUCGAUACUGACGCUGAGGUGCGAAAGCGUGGGGAGCAAACAGG
rnacentral:rRNA from 1 species